UUGGAGGGCAAGUCUGGUGCCAGCAGCCGCGGUAAUUCCAGCUCCAAUAGCGUAUAUUAAAGUUGUUGCAGUUAAAAAGCUCGUAGUUGAAUUUCGGGGUUAGUAGGUUGGUCAUGCCUCCGGUAUGUACUGAUCUCACUGAUUCCUCCUUCCUUAUGAACCGUAAUGCCAUUAAUUUGGUGUUGCGGGGAAUUUGGACUGUUACUUUGAAAAAAUUAGAGUGUUUAAAGCAGGCUAACGCUUGAAUACAUUAGCAUGGAAUAAUGAAAUAGGACGUUCGACCUUAUUUUGUUGGUUUCUAGGAUUGACGUAAUGAUUAAUAGGGAUAGUUGGGGGCAUUAGUAUUCAAUUGUCAGAGGUGAAAUUCUUGGAUUUAUUGAAGACUAACUACUGCGAAAGCAUUUGCCAAGGAUGUUUUCAUUAAUCAAGAACGAAAGUUAGGGGAUCGAAGACGAUCAGAUACCGUCGUAGUCUUAACCAUAAACUAUGCCGACUAGGGAUCGGAUGAUGUUAAUUUUUUAAUGACUCAUUCGGCGCCUUACGGGAAAC
rnacentral:rRNA from 1 species